GGGUAUAUCUUGCCGUGGCUUGUAUAACAUGAAAGUCGAACGGUGUAGCCCAGCUUGCUUGCUGCCUCUGUGGCGAACGGGUGAGUAACACGUGAGCAACCUGCCCUGGACUCUGGGAUAAGCGCUGCAAACGGCGUCUAAUACUGAAUAUGAAUCCCCUUCUCAUGGUGGGGGUUGGUAUGAUUUUUUGGUCUGGGAUGGGCUCGCGGCCUAUCAGCUUGUUGGUGAGGUAAUGGCUCACCAAGGCGUCGACGGGUAGCCGGCCUGAGAGGGUGACCGGCCACACUGGGACUGAGACACGGCCCAGACUCCUACGGGAGGCAGCAGUGGGGAAUAUUGCACAAUGGGCGAAAGCCUGAUGCAGCAACGCCGCGUGAGGUAUGACGGCCUUCGGGUUGUAAACCUCUUUUAGCAGGAAAGAAGCGAAUGUGACGGUACCUGCAGAAAAAGCGCCGGCUCACUACGUGCCAGCAGCCGCGGUAAUACGUAGGGCGCAGCUUUAUCGGAAUUAUUGGGCGUAAAGAGCUCGUAGGAAGCUUUGUCGCGUCUGCUGAAAAAUCCCGACGCUCAACCUCGGUCUGCAGUGGGUACGGCCAGACU
rnacentral:rRNA from 1 species